UACAGAGGUCCCAAGCGUUGUUCGGAUUCACUGGGCGUAAAGGGUGCGUAGGUGGUUGUGCAAGUCUGAUGUGAAAUCUCCGGGCUCAACCCGGAAAUGGCAUUGGAAACUGCAUGGCUAGAGGGUUGGAGGGGGGACUGGAAUACUUGGUGUAGCAGUGAAAUGCGUAGAUAUCAAGUGGAACACCAGUGGCGAAGGCGAGUCCCUGGACAACACCUGACACUGAGGCACGAAAGCUAGGGGAGCAAACAGG
rnacentral:rRNA from 1 species